GUAAGUCAUCUUUACAUCAGAAUAAAUACAAAGACGUCCAGCCUUUUGUCCUUUCUCCUCCUUUGCCAAAGAAGACGACCCACUCACCUCACCGAAUUGUUCCUCAUGUGGGUUCAUGGGAGACAAAAUGUUUUUAGCAGGAGAUGAGGCAUUUGCUUGACAAGAACAUUUCUGAGCUGAGGCUUCUGGUUUUAACUUUGUCAACCAGCAGGCAGCAUUUCUCUGACUGUAAAUCUGAGUUAAUUUACAGACAUGCUCCUAAGGAAGGAAAAACUGAAUCAGUACCCUUGCUCCUGACACAGAGAGAAAGUCACCACCAGGAGAAAAAGAAAAAAAAGAUCUCAGGUUUCAAUGAGAUAAUGAACUUGUAACCACCUGAAUAUAUCAACGAGUACAAACAGGAGCACUCCUUCCUUCCUUAUAGCCUGCAAAGAGAUGGUGUCAUUGAGAAGAGAUUACUGUUUGGAGGAGGGGUCAGGAGACCUUUUCUGGAAAGGGCCAGACAGUUUCAUUAGUAUUUACCUAAUGUCAUCUUCCUGUUUGAGGACCCCAUCUGGGAUACCACAGCACAUUUGGUCAUGUCUCCUGAGGCUCCUCUUGGCUGAAUUCAGGAAAGAACUUGAGUUCUACUUUUGCAGUGAAGAACAGAGAACACCUGCAGAAGCUGAGAAUGAAAUGAGCCCACCAGGACUUAGCAACCGUCUUGCUGAGGUUUGGAUUUUGACAGGGUGUGAAUGGUGGUUGGAGAUAAGCUUAUCUGGUUUUCCAGGGGCCAGGAGACCACAGCUAGGUUAGCAUCUGCAUUGCACAUGUUAUAGUAAGGAUGCCUGUUUGCUAUCAAAUUACUCUAACAGCAUUAUUUCCUUUGACUCUAUUUAACAGUCAUGUGAAGCAAACCCUUUCUGUAGAUUGUGCAAAUUUAACUCAAUCUGCAUUGGGCUGGACAUUGUGAUAAAUUACUAGGGAUCUACUUGAAUGACACUUUACAUGCAAACUUUAUUUUUACAUUUUAAUAUAUUCAAACUUAUAUGGUUAGGAGAGGAGUGUGACAGCUUCAAAAAUAGAAGAAAAAUCAUUAAAUGUUGACUGGUAGAGCUGGAAGAGAUCUCAGCAACUACUUUAUAGAUGAGGAAACUAAGACAUAGAGAAGUGGAUAACUUUCCAACAUCAUACAGCCUUUGAACAGUAGAUUCAUUGGAAUAAUUAAAACAGAAGGUCUUCUUUCCCUGCUAGGGGGAUUUCUGCCAUGAACCACUCCUCCUGUAGUACUCAAAGGUCUAACUUGGCUAUGGAAAAGCCUCUAUCUCAGGAAUGUUUAUGUCUUUGGAUCCUUUCCUCUCUUUUACAAAAGAACCCUGGAGAAAAUAAAAAAAAAAGGUCCACAUGGUUAUAAAACACUGAACUUCAGCUUUUUCUGAAGCCACCCUCUUGUCCAAAUUUUGGGGACUUUACGUGGAUGGGAGCAAGCAGUUUAUCUGGGCUUUUUCCUACUUCCUACCUCUCCCAGGACUGGGAGAGUCAACUGAAAACCAAUCAAUAUAUGUUUCAUUUUUGUUUUCUGUAUAAAUAGUUGUCUUAUCUGAAAUGACCUUUUUCCAAGAGCUAAUAGCCAUAAAUUUUUGCAGCUGGACAUGUUUAGAAAUGCCUCUUAGCUAUUUUUGUUGAUUUAUUUUCUUUGUCUGUAUUUGUGCAAUCCAGCUUUGGGCAUAGAAGCAAGCAGCUCUGGUUUCUGGUCCUCUACCUCUAAUGAUUUAAAUUCAGGGGACGUAGUUCUUUUUCUAUAGGAAUGGCCCCGUAUGGGAUUCCAUGGAGUCAUAGCUCAGCCCAGGAGUUAUUAUUCUAUCUUGGAGACUCAUGUUGAAUUCUUUUUGUGGCAACUAUUUCUGCAUUUUCUGCAUUUCUUUCUGAGUCUGCUUUGAAAUGUUUUUAUCUAUCUAUCUAUCUGCCUACCUACCUACUUCCAAUUUCGAUGUCCAAUAAUAUGGUGAUUAUAUAUUAUAGAGUAUUAACUCACUGGCAUAUUAAGUGACCACAAUAAAUGCAAAUGAAAAUAUCAUCUGCUGUGUAGCUCCAUGGAACAGCACAUCUGAAACAUAUUAAGUGACCAUUCCGUAUAUUUAAUUAUAGUCUGAAAAAUUUAUGUAACAUGUGGAUAAAGUUUAGACAUUUUCUCAAAAAGAAGUAAGUGAACUAGAAGUUCUUAAUGGCCUAAUAUGUGCUGGAUUUAUCUCAUUUAACCCUUAGAACAGUCCUGUAAAUUAAGCGUCAUUACCUCCAUCUGAAGAUGUAGAACCUGAGUCUCAAUGGAUCAAAUAACUUGUCUAAAGUCACACAGCUAAUAUUAAUAUAAAGGUACAGCCAGAGUUCUAGGUUGGUCCAAAAGCUGGAAUCUCUGCUCUUUUCAUUAUGCCGUGCUACGUUUAGAGAAAUCUAAGCAAUGAUAGACUUAUGUAAAGGGCUUAGAAUUGUAGCAUUUUGGGUUAAAAAUAAAAAUAAAAGUAAAUAUAAAAAUAUUUUUGUCCCCCUUCAUCUUCACUGUAUUAAUAAUUUCUGAGUUGGAGCAAAGGACACAUGACUGACACAAUAGAGAGAAAUCAUCAUUCCUCUCUGUCCUUUUGCUUCUAGAACAACGUUGUUACCUCUCUGUCUCUGGAUAUCCAUUUUCCAGGCCACAAUAUGUAUGUUCUGAGGUCUAAAGUCAAAAGGAUGCCAAGAAAAUAAGGCAAUCGCUUAAGCCCAGAAUGUAAGACUAAGCAAUAAAACAAUCAGAAUUAUCUGACUUAUAAGCAGGGCUAAACUUAGAUGAAAUUUAGAAAUAGAAAUAAAAGUUGAUCUUUUUCUUCUCAAGCCUCCAGUAUGCUUUCCCUUCUCUUUUAUACAAAUUUAUUUUCUGUAUCACAU
rnacentral:lncRNA from 10 species